rnacentral:tRNA from 1 species
GGUGGGAUGGCUGAGUGGACGAAGGCGGCGGUCUUGAAAACCGUUGUGGCGCAAGUCACCGUGGGUUCGAAUCCUACUCCCACCGCCA